rnacentral:rRNA from 1 species
AACGAACGCUGGCGGCAUGCCUAACACAUGCAAGUCGAACGAGACCUUCGGGUCUAGUGGCGCACGGGUGCGUAACGCGUGGGAACCUGCCCUUAGGUUCGGAAUAACUCCCCGAAAGGGGUGCUAAUACCGGAUAAUGUCUUCGGACCAAAGAUUUAUCGCCUUUGGAUGGGCCUUCGUUGGAUUAGCUAGUUGGUAGGGUAAAAGCCUACCAAGGCUACGAUCCAUAACUGGUUUGAGAGGAUGAUCAGCCACACUGGGACUGAGACACGGCCCAGACUCCUACGGGAGGCAGCAGUGGGGAAUAUUGGACAAUGGGCGAAAGCCUGAUCCAGCAAUGCCGCGUGAGUGAUGAAGGCCUUAGGGUUGUAAAGCUCUUUUACCCGGGAUGAUAAUGACAGUACCGGGAGAAUAAGCACCGGCUAACUCCGUG